GGGGACUUGCAAGCAAAAAUCAAAGCCAAUAAACUUCAAAAGGACGGGGAGGACCGGGGCCACCGGGGGAGUGCAGGGGGCCGACGGUGGUGGGGGGGUGGGGGGCUCUGGUGGCUGCAGGGUGGCUUGGCGGAGGCUUUCCCUGUUCCUUCAAAGGGGACACCGAGUGUUUCAGAUGGUCACUUAAAAAGCUCAGAUGCAAAACUUUGGAAAGCUGGGUGAGAGGCAACGGUUUCCAAAACAGCUAUUUUUAUCUUUUGCCAGCAAGCCUGAGCCCAGUGGAACGUAGAGUUAAACUUGGAAUUUCUUGGCAAGGGUUAAUAAUCAAUGUAGAUCUCCUAACAAAGGAGAUGCUGCCUUAUUAUACUGGGAAAGUUUUUUUUCUUAACUGUCAGUGAAGCAGUACUAAUUAUUGCUCCAGUGUAAAUGAGGUCAUUUCCUAUUAAGAGAACAAAAUGCUUAGCCUCGCCUUGCCAAUUCAUACCAACUAUUUUUCACACAUACUCAGCUUUUUAGUUUUUUUUUUUAAUUUUGAUAAAAUCCAUUCAUUUGUAUUAGAAAAGUGUAAACCAUCGCAAUAAUAGUUGCCCAUGAUUACCCAGAUGAGCUUUUGUAAUGUGUGGGUUGUUUGAAUACCAUGUGUUAGCUAUGGAACAAUUAGGCAGCUGAAUGGAUCUUUAAAACAAUCAGAUACUUUUAUCUCCCUGAAAAAAUACAUUCCUUGGAUGUGUACUGCGAAACCGUAAAUUCCGGGGAAUGGUACACUCACGUCACGAGGAGAACUUGCGGAUAUAUGUUGAUCAAGGACAAAAAGACAUCCAAAUAUCGUGUCUUCGUGUUUUCAUUUUUUUUUUAUGCAAGCAAAAAGAUUUAAGGAAUAUUGUAGCAAACAAAGGGUAAUUGUUUUAGCCCAGAUGUUGCUUUUGCACAACAAGCAGGUUACAAUGUUCCCACAGAGCUGAUGAGCCCAAUCAGGGAAAUGAUUAAAAAUUGAUUUUGUCCCUGUAAUUACAGUAUGUAAACUACUUAGCUUGGAUUGCAAAGGAAGUGAUUUUCUAAUUACGUAUAUACUCUGGUGUCUAAUGAUUGGUUUUUUGAAGUAAUGAAGAGAGAGCACUAACGACUCCUUGGUGUUCUGUUGUUUAAGAAAGACCAUCUUUAGAGUAAGCAGCAACAGACAAAGAGUUUAAAUUGAAUUUUCAACACUGUUAAUGUGCACAUGGAUUUGUUUAUUAAAGAGACAGGGAAGUAAUUUGAUUGGCUCGGAGCAGCUUGGCUUUUUUGCCAUGCUAAAGCAUGUAAAAAUACAUGCACCGGGUCCCAAGCUGACGGGAAGAAGCCUCUCCACUCCUCUUUUAUCAUCCCAGCACCCUGGCUGAUAUCGCGGGCUCUCAGGUUCCUGCGAGCGUCUGAUGUCUCCGUAUCCUGAAAGCAUUUAGAUCGAACAGGUAUCAGAUGGCUUCGCCAUCAAAGUUACCUUUGUUUUAGAAUGAAAGGAGAGGCUUCCUUUGGAAGCAUGUCUGGGCAGCCCAGCGCACUCUGUGUUAUAAGAUUCCAGCCAUGUCCUAUGAUGCGAGGCUCUGCUUCAGGGUGGCAGCUGCCACCCACCCCAGCAUGUACGUGCAUGUGUACACACACGCGCGCGCGUGCACACACACACACACACACACACACACACACACUGUCUCUCUCUCUCUCAUGUAGGUGUCAGCCCUGAAUUUGGAGGUGUGACUGCAGUGGGUCAAGGUAGGACCCCAUGGGGUGGGCUCAUGGGGUGUGGGGAAGAGCUGGCUGAGUUCUGAGUGUUCCUUCUCUGUCGUGAGACCCUUUGUGGCUGGGGAAUAACAGCUCCUCAAGCACCUGUUCUGGCAGAAGUUAGAAGAGGGCAGUGGCUCCGAGGCGACCCUGAAGGCAAGCGUGUGCUGAGGCCAGCAGGUCAGGAGACAACUGCUAUUGAGAAGAUCAUUGCUGCUCAUAGUCGCCAAGGGGAGGGGGCAGCCACGCCAGGCCGGGCUGCCUGGGGAAGCACCAGGGUUGGUCAGGAGCCGGAAGGGGCAAGGGGAAAAUGUGGGCAAGGGCCUUCAUUAUGGUUUUGGAGGGAAAGGCAUGGCAUGGCAGGGUAAGCAGCCCAAAGACUGGUUAACUGAGAUCCUUUCACCAGGCUUUGAGCACAGGGGCUGUCUCCAGUUGUCUGGCACCUGGUCCUGGGGUAACUAGGGCAGGGGGACAGUGGUCCAGCAUAUGAGCGCCUGAUGUAGGAGAUGGUUGGGGCGUGGGCUCUGGAUUGGUUGGUUUGCAGAUGAAAGAUGUGCUCCCAGGGCAGUCAUUUGCUAUCUCUGGGAACUGGUCAUGCUGGGAGGGGCUGUUCCUGUAGGGUCAGCAAGGCCCCUGAUGCCAAAGCAUCAGAAACAUAUGGUCACUGCACCUGAGCCCUGAGCUAGGGCUGAUUUGGAACUGGUGCCCUGUGCCACCAGAGUCCAGGGCCAGGAUGAGGCCGGGAUGUCCCUGGGCCCACCUUACACCUAGUGUCCUACUUAGCACGUCUCACUGGCUCUACACACAAAGCAUCCUGAAUCUUCGUGCGUCUCCUCACCCCUGUGGCUCAGGUCAAGCCAGCAUCCUCUCUCACCUGGACAACUGCAGGAGUCUCCCCAGGGAGACUCCGCUGACUCCUCUCUGGCCCCCUCUUGUCUGUUCUUCCCACAGCAUGGUUAGCAAAUCCGACUAGGAAGCAUGACGUUGCGGGUUCAAUCCCUGGCCUUGCUCAGUGGGUUAAGGAUCUGGUGUUGCCGUGAGCUGUGGUGUAGGUUGCAGACGUGGCUCAGAUCCUUCGUUGCUGUGGCUCUGGCGUAGGCUGGUGGCUACAGCUCCGAUUCAACCCCUAGCCUGGGAAUCUCCAUAUGCCU
rnacentral:lncRNA from 1 species